rnacentral:misc_RNA from 1 species
AUAUCUGAUGAAAACACUUUUUAUGAGCAUUUACUGGUUUUGCUACUUGCUACUUGUAUUCUUCUGUCUGCCUCAAACUCUCAUCCAUAUGGGUCGAUGAUGAAAUUUUUAUUAAAAUCAAUCAAUAGUAACAAACUAACUAUAAAAAUUUAUCAAGUUUCCUAAUACAAAUUUAAGUUUUGGUGACUGCUGAAAUCGAUGAGAACUUCAAUAACCAUAGAUGAAGUUAAAUCUGGAAGAUGAUAAAAUGUACAGUAGGCAGCAUGAUUUAACUAUUACUACUUUUGGCUACCAACAAAAUUCUUGUGGCCUUCAUAAUAUAGAAGUUGUUAUGACGCUGAUAAAGGGACAACUGGAGGUGCACUUGUCAAUAUUAAUUUGCUGUUUUUUAUUCCUGUAAGGAUCAUUGUUGAAGCCAUUUGUUUUGGGUUAUCUGUAAUAAAACAGAAGCUUCGGUUCUCAAGUGCAUGAGUAGUUCACAGGCAUCAAUUCCCACAUGUUUGGCUGAAUAGUUUUCCAUGUUUUGUGCGUACAGUCAAUCAGUGAAGUGGAAGCAGAUGAGUUCACUCUCAAGAAGAACAUCUUGGCAACCUUUGCUUGAAGCAUGUUAACCACAAGUGAAGUCACAUCCUCGUUUUGCUUGGAUGCACUGGCAGCCUUUUUCCUGGGGAUUUGUAGCCCAGGUAAUGUUUGGGCCUGGGUAAACGCUGUUACGGUGGAUGUCCAACUCGCUUGUCAAGUUUUGGCAACUAAAGUGUAAUUGUAGAAAGAAAGGAUAAAUUUUACGUUACAAUUCGCAACAAUACAACAUUUUCAGUUUUAAGAUCCAUAGAUUUUUCUUACAUGCUACAUCGUCAGUGGUAAUUUGGGACCAUUUAUGACAAAAAUGUUUUAAAUGAAUGACUGUGUUUGCUAAAGUUUAACUUGCAGGGCUUGUCUAAACGCAGGACCUAGCCUGUUGCUUUCUGUUCUUGAUUAACUAUUUGUCGUCUUC